rnacentral:miRNA from 1 species
AGCGAGGUUGCCCUGUGUAUAUU